AUUGAACGCUGGCGGCAUGCCUUACACAUGCAAGUCGAACGGCAGCGCGGGGCAACCUGGCGGCGAGUGGCGAACGGGUGAGUAACAUAUCGGAACAUACCCUAGAGUGGGGGAUAACGUAGCGAAAGUUACGCUAAUACCGCAUACGCACUAAGGUGGAAAGUGGGGGAUUCGCAAGAACCUCAUGCUCAUGGAGUGGCCGAUAUCUGAUUAGCUAGUUGGUGAGGUAAAGGCUCACCAAGGCGACGAUCAGUAGCUGGUUUGAGAGAACGACCAGCCACACUGGAACUGAGACACGGUCCAGACUCCUACGGAGGCAGCAGUGGGGAAUUUUGGGACAAAUGGGGGGCAACCCUGAUCCAGCAAUGCCGCGUGAGUGAAGAAGGCCUUCGGGUUGU
rnacentral:rRNA from 1 species